CCUACGGGAGGCAGCAGUGGGGAAUAUUGCACAAUGGGGGAAACCCUGAUGCAGCGACGCCGCGUGAGUGAAGAAGUAAUUCGUUAUGUAAAGCUCUAUCAGCAGGGAAGAAAAUGACGGUACCUGAGUAAGAAGCCCCGGCUAACUACGUGCCAGCAGCCGGGGUAAUACGUAGGGGGCAAGCGUUAUCCGGAUUUACUGGGUGGAAAGGGAGCGUAGACGGCAGUGCAAGUCUGGAGUGAAAGGCGGGGGCUCAACCCCCGGAAUGCGCUGGAAACUGUACGGCUGGAGUGCAGGAGAGGGAAGUGGAAUUCCUAGUGUAGCGGUGAAAUGCGUAGAUAUUAGGAGGAACACCAGUGGCGAAGGCGGCUUACUGGACUGUAACUGACGUUGAGGCUCGAAAGCGUGGGGAGCAAACAGGAUUAGAUACCCUAGUAGUC
rnacentral:rRNA from 1 species